rnacentral:lncRNA from 10 species
GUCGAGCCGGUGCUGCCGCGGCCACCGCCACCGCCCAGGGGCUCCGGGGCUGUGGGGAGCGGCUGAACUCAAUACCGCCUCCGCGCUGACUGGAAGGCACUGCGGCCGCGCCUGCCUGCCCCACCUCGUAAGGGCCUGUGACCUCACGAGGCCAGCCGCCGGGCGCUGCAUUCGAGCGAACUUCAGAUUGAAAAGCAUGUACUUGAGUAGCUGUAUUUAAGGAAUUACACCCAAGAAGUCUCAUCUUCCCUGGACUUACGUAGAGGAUAAGAUUCUGAACUUUGAAUUGAUGCUAUAAUGGGAUAAGACUUUGGGGCCUUAGAAGGGGAGAACAAAGGCCAUGAAGGUGUUAAAGGGAAGCAAGCGAUCGACAGCAUUGGUUGGUGACAAACCUGUGGCUGGUCUGUGUAUGAUGGGAUGGAUUCCUCCUGCUCCCAGAAGGCACUGUACUUUCAGUGUUCAGGGCAGCCUUGCCUUAGUGCCUCAAACCUAUCCCUACAUCCUGCAGUAAACUUGGAAAGGUAACACCUCUAACCAUCAGGCCUUCCUCUGAAGCACAGUCAAGUUGCUCUUGGCAACCAUCUCAAUUUUAAUAGUGCAGAUGCCAUGUGCUGUAAAGUCCUAAAAUUUAAAUUCUUUAUUUCUUGACAUCAUUGCCUCAAAAAAAUGCGUGAUAUAUUUUGUCCAUUAAUGAGAUCCAUAUCUAUCUUCUUCUCCUUACCUGCUUUCUGAUUUUCCUGUCUCCUCAAUUAACAAGUCACUUUCUUGAUAAUAUUUGUAUUUAUAAAUGCCCUUCACCCAGAUGACGGUCCCUAACUUAUCGUUUUUUUUUGUUGUUGUUGUUGUUUGUUUGUUUUUUUGAGACAGAGUCUCACUCUGUUGCCCAAGCUGGAGUGCAGUGGCGCGAUCUCAGCUCACUGCAACCUGUGCCUCCCGGGUUCAAGUGAGUCUCCUGCCUCAGCCUCCCAAGGAGCUGGAAUUACAGGCAUGCACCACCAUGCCCGGCUAAUGUUUUUGUAUUUUUAGUAGAGACAGGGUUUCACCAUGUUGGCCAGGCUGGUAUUGAACUCCUGACCCCAGACGAUCCACCCACCAUGGCCUUCCAAACUGCUGGGAUUACAGGUGUUAACCACCACACCUGGCCCCUAACUUAUCACUUGCAGGCUUAACCUGUUUUGCUUAACAGCUUCGAUGAGUAGAGAUUCCUGCCUAACAUGGUUCUCCCUCUCCCUCCUGGGGCAGGGCCGGGAGCCGUCAGGGUUCACUCACCUGGCUCUUCUACCACAUACAGGAUGGACUUUCCACUAGAAUCUUCAUAGUACUGGAAUCUGACGACACAGUCAUCCUCAUUCUUAUAGGUACAAUUCACUGCAUCCUUGCCAGUGUCCUCUGGGAGUAGGGAAAAUGGAGGAAUAAAAAGUGAGACAACUACUGGAAGAUGGGACCACUCCAAACCCCUAUCACAGGACUUCCAGGGAAGUAUGUGACAGGAAACCCUGUGCCUCAUGUGCACGAUGCCUAGAUUCAAGGUGGCUGUUGUGUCUGGCAGUUGCCACUCACUGACACUCACUGAUGUAUUUUGUACUGCAUAGGCCCUUUUUGGUUCCUAAUCCUUCCUCUGAAAGGGACAUGAUAUAACAGUAUUACACAAUUUAAUUCAAAUCCUGGCUUCACUACCUACCCGUUGUGUGAUCUUGGGUAAGUUACCUGACCUCAUCAAGUCUUUCUUCAUCUAUAAAAAGAAAAUGAUACCCCCACCUCACAAGGUCGGUGAACUAAACAGCAUAAAGUGAACAGUGCCUAACAUAUAGUAGGUGUACUCUUCCCUCUCUUUCCUUUCUCUGCUUGCUUAGUGAUUCUUAAUAGUUUGCUUAUGCAGCUGUUCUAUUUCUUCCAUUUCUGUUUCUGAUCCAGUAUACCUCCCCAGAGCUAUCCUCUCUUCUCUGACUCCCACCGUGUUUUGUAGACUUCAUCUCUUCUAAUUCUAAAGUUUGUUAUUCUGCAAAGAUACUAGGGGUUACCCUCCACUAGCUGCACUGUGCCCCAUACUGAUGAAACCAGAUGAGUAAAACUGACACAUGAUGAAAUUAAGCAAAUGUACCCAGGUCACACAGCAAAUGAGUGAUGAAGCAGAACAAGAACAGGAGUCUCAAAGCACAUCUUGCAGACUUGAACUCAACAACCCUUCAGAAAACCAGUGGUAUUAUAAUACAGGGAAAAG